AUAAGACAUGAUGAACCCAUGCAUCUCUGCCGGUGAACAUUAAUUGAUGUGUAAAAUGUAUGGAUUGCACGAGCGAUCAUCUCUUCUUGUUUCUAUAUGUAAGUGAGCCUAGCUCUCAACUCAUUUGUGAAGACUUAGAAUUGCAUCACUUAGCUUGUGAUUUUGGGUGGAGUAGAGAGGAGUACAUAGAAGAAGAAAAGGGUCUGCAAAAACACAGAUGGAUCACGGAUUUAAGAUGGUUUUCGUAUGGGAAUGUGGUGGAGACUUUAAAAUCCUGAAUCAAGAUGCUGCAACAUGAUGAUAUUUCCUCUCAAAACCACUAUAUCAACUAGGCCGACCAGGGUAAAUGUUCUGUUUGUUUCAUCCUACACCCGAAUGAAACGUCUGCAUUUCCAACUGGCGUUUGAAGAUUGCCAUGUAAUUUGAUCGAAUCCAAUAAAGUGCGUCGUGAACAAAGUAUCCAGCACUUCAAGUAAUUCCAUCUCCAUAUUUACAUAUUAUAUUAGAGUUCAGAUUAAAUAGAAAGAUUACGGUUUAAGCUA